AUAGCGUAUAUUAAAGUUGUUGCAGUUAAAAAGCUCGUAGUUGGAUCUGUGCCAUAGGACGUGGUCCACCUUCGGGUGCGUACUACGCUCCUAGGCUUUUUGCUGGUUUUCCCGUCGUAGCCUUCACUGGUUGCGGCGGGUGGCUGGCGAGUUUACUUUGAGAAAAUCAGAGUGCUCAAUACAGGCGUAUCGCUUGAAUGAUUGUGCAUGGAAUAAUAGAAAAGGAUUUCGGUCCUCUUUUAUUGGUUUUGUGGACUGAGAUAAUGGUUAACAGGGACAAACGGGGGCAUUCGUAUCUCUGCGUGAGAGGUGAAAUUCUUGGACCGUAGAGAGACGCCCUACUG
rnacentral:rRNA from 2 species